UGUUCAGUUCCGGGCUCUGCCGGGACACGAUGAUCCGAUCAGCGAUGGAGGGCACCCACCGUGGCGCGAACGGAGUGACUCGGUUGCAGCACGUGGGCACGGAGGGUUACGUUCGCCGCAACAACCUCACACGGACGACGGCCCCCGGCCAGGACGGCAAUCCUGAUCGAGGGCCUGACCAAUCAGGAAGAAACCCCUUCCCA
rnacentral:ncRNA from 1 species